AUCUCAAAGACUGAUAGUGCACAAAGACCUAGGUUAAUGCUGAAGAUUUACGAGCUCCUGAGCUGAAAGCAUACUUGGACUGGGUAGAAGAAGAAGCGUCCGGAGUCCCCAGCGAGAGAUUCUUAUGGAAAACGAAAGAGUGACUCGUCUCAAGAAGAGUUAGAGCGGUAUAUAGCUCAAAUGACUAAUUGGAUUACAAGUAUCAAAAGGGUUAUUAUCAGUCAAUGAGGACAUCGAAAUAGUGAAUAAAUUGCUAACAGCCACAAUGAUUGAUCCUAGAAUCACUGUUGC